GUAAUCUCUCCUUCCAUAUCGCUUUAAAACCUGUGUGACAUCAAACUUGGUUAAUUAAAUUGUUAAAUAAGUGACUCGAGAUGGCAGCUGCCCAGACCAUCAACAUGCACAAGAUACCAAGUGAUUGUGAGAGUAAAAUUCACAUCACCUAAUACAAUAUAACUGACACUGGGUAAAA